rnacentral:rRNA from 1 species
GAUGAACGCUGGCGGCGUGCCUAAUACAUGCAAGUCGAGCGAACGGACGCGAAGCUUGCUUUUCUGAUGUUAGCGGCGGACGUGUGAGUAACACGUGGAUAACCUACCCAUAAGACUGGGAUAACUUCGGGAAACCGGAGCUAAUACCGUAUAAUAUUUUGAACCGCAUGGUUCAAAAGUGAAAUACGGUCUUGCUGUCACUUAUAGAUGGAUCCGCGCUGCAUUAGCUGGUUGGGACGGUAACGGCUUACCAAGGCAACGAUGCAUAGCCGACCGGAGAGGGUGAUCGGCGACACUGGAACUGAGACACGCACAAGACUCCUAAGGGAGGCAGCAGUAGGGAAUCGGACGCAGUGGGCGAAAGCCUGACGGAGCAAGGCCGCGCGAGUGAUGAAGGUCUUGGGAUCGGAAAACUCUGUUAUGAGGGAAGAACAGAUGUGGAAGGAAAUGUGCAGAGAUUGACGGUACCGAAUCAGAAAGCCACGGCUAACUACGUG